GCCACCAGUUUCCUCCCUCUCUGGGAAGUGGCAUUUGAAUUGCAGGUGCUGAUGGCUGAUGGACGGAGGGACAAGACCACAUUAUGUCAAAAUCCUUGGCUGGGUUGCUUGCUCCUCAUUUCACUGCUGGGUGCCACAGGCUUGGGGUUUACUGUUUAUUUUUUGAAAAAAUAUAUGAUAAAUUGGUAUUAAUUAUUUGAAAAUGUAAAAUCAUUCACUGGUGAUGUCUUCUUGACCAAGUCAGGAAUUUUUUUUUUUUUUUUUUUCGAGAGACUGAGUCUCACUCUGCAUCCAGACUAGAGCACAGUGGCAUGAAUGUAGCUCAUUGCAGACCCGAACUCCUGGGAUCAAGCAAUCCUUUUGCCUCAGCCACUUGAGUACCUGGGGCCACAGGCACAUGCCACCAUGUCUGGCUUAUCUUUUUUCUUCUUUUCUUUUCUUUCUUUUGUUAUUAUUUUUUUCAUUUUUGGUAGAAAGAGGUUCUCACUAUGUUGCCCAACCUGGUCCUGAACCCCUAGCCUCAAGUAAUCCUCCUGCCUCAACCUACCAAAGCAUUGGGAUUACAAGUUUGACCCACCAUUAUCAGUCCAGGGUAGGAAAUGGAAUCUUAACAACUAUCACCUGAGCUUUGAGGGGAUCCUUCCCUGGAUGAGCCUUUAGUUGAGACCUCAGCCUUGGACAUCAUCUACCUCUGGAUUCCUGACCCAGAGCAACAGCUUAGUUUUCUAAAGAUAAUUCUGCCUUCAAGCCUUGUUGGAAUUCUGUGAUAAUUUCUUUUCACUCCACGUUCUCCAUCACGAAUUUUAUGGAACCUUGUAUUCUGUUGAAUACCAGAAUUAUAUCAGCAAUCCCAAAGUCACCAAAUGGGCAUCAUCAUGACAGCAGUAAACCCCAAGCCUGUGGCACCCAGCAGUGAAAUGAGGAGCAAGCAAUGCAGCCAAGGAUUUUGAGACAAUGUGGUCUUGUCCCUCUGUCCAUCAGCCAUCAUCACCUGCAAUUCAAAUUCCACUUCCCAGAGAGGGAGGAAACUGGUGGCAGCCACAUGUGCAGCACAG